ACCUCCCUCCUUGGACUCGGGUGAGUUUACAUGUACAGAGUGUGGAAGGAUGUAGGACAAUGUCCCCAGCUGUAACUGACGGGGCAGGCCAAGCCAUCAUCUCUGCCAUUCUAGUGACUCAGCCAACCUCACACAUCUGCAGUCGCCUGCUGGUCCCAUCUGAAGGAAGAAGGAAUGUGAGCCACGCCUUGUGAGUACCCACCAGCCUCAGCAGACAUGACUUGGGAAUGUUUCUGGGUUCCAGGAGAGUGUAACAUCGCUCUGUCCUGUCUCACUCCCUCGCUCCUUCUCCAAGAUGCUAGCCCUCUGCUGCUGUAACAACACCCCGGAGAUGGCUCCUUUGGUGAAGAAUCCGCCUCUCAAGCAUGAAGACCUGCGUGCCCAUCCCCAGCUCCCAUGUAAAAAGCCAGGUCUGGUGGCCCCAUCUUGCAAUCCUCCAUAGCAAGACGCAAGGUAGAGACAGGCAGAUUUCUGGAGCUCACUGGCCGGUCGGCCUAGCCUAUUUAGUGAAGUUCCAGGACCACGAGAGACUUUGCCUCAAAGAAAAGGUGAACAAUACCUGAGGAAUGACACCUGAGGUUAACUUCUGACCCCCACAUGUGUGUGCCAAGCACACAUGUACUCCCCCAUGAACACAUACGUGUACUUUUUUUUUUUUGCUAAUGUUUGUUGACUGACUCCCAGACUUAAAAGAGAAGCCCAUUGCUAUUAACUUCUUCUUCCAUCCCUUUCCCCCAGACUUGGGUUUUCCUAUUGUCUUCCAUUUUCACACAGUUCUCACCUAUAACUCUCUUAAUCUUCCACUGAACCAUACAUUCUCUGGCCAUCUUAGCAUGGGAGUCAUUACUCCCAGCCAUUUUUUUUUUUUUUUUUGUCCCCAGGAUGCCAUACCUGGUUCUUUGCUGGCUAGAUUCCAUACCAACAGAAAUAAAAACCUAAUAACUUCU
rnacentral:lncRNA from 1 species